AGAGGCCCUCCAUGGCAGAGGUGGAAUGCUUGUCUCGUUGCCAGGGCAACGAGACAAGCAUUCCACCAUGCCACUCAUGCUGCCUGC
rfam:Myotis davidii contig69630, whole genome shotgun sequence.